CUACGGGAGGCUGCAGUGGGGAAUAUUGCACAAUGGGCGCAAGCCUGAUGCAGCCAUGCCGCGUGUAUGAAGAAGGCCUUCGGGUUGUAAAGUACUUUCAGCGGGGAGGAAGGGAGUAAAGUUAAUACCUUUGCUCAUUGACGUUACCCGCAGAAGAAGCACCGGCUAACUCCGUGCCAGCAGCCGCGGUAAUACGGAGGGCGCAAGCGUUAAUCGGAAUUACUGGGCGUAAAGCUCACGCAGGCGGUUUGUUAAGUCAGAUGUGAAAUCCCCGGGCUCAACCUGGGAACUGCAUCUGAUACUGGCAAGCUUGAGUCUCGUAGAGGGGGGUAGAAUUCCAGGUGUAGCGGUGAGAUGCGUAGAGAUCUGGAGGAAUACCGGUGGCGAAGGCGGCCCCCUGGACGAAGACUGACGCUCAGGUGCGAAAGCGUGGGGAGCAAACAGGAUUAGAUACCCUCGUAGUC
rnacentral:rRNA from 1 species